rnacentral:rRNA from 1 species
ACUAAGCGUACACGGUGGAUGCCCUGGCAGUCAGAGGCGAUGAAGGACGUGCUAAUCUGCGAUAAGCGUCGGUAAGGUGAUAUGAACCGUUAUAACCGGCGAUUUCCGAAUGGGGAAACCCAGUGUGUUUCGACACACUAUCAUUAACUGAAUCCAUAGGUUAAUGAGGCGAACCGGGGGAACUGAAACAUCUAAGUACCCCGAGGAAAAGAAAUCAACCGAGAUUCCCCCAGUAGCGGCGAGCGAACGGGGAGCAGCCCAGAGCCUGAAUCAGUGUGUGUGUUAGUGGAAGCGUCUGGAAAGGCGCGCGAUACAGGGUGACAGCCCCGUACACAAAAAUGCACAUGCUGUGAGCUCGAUGAGUAGGGCGGGACACGUGGUAUCCUGUCUGAAUAUGGGGGGACCAUCCUCCAAGGCUAAAUACUCCUGACUGACCGAUAGUGAACCAGUACCGUGAGGGAAAGGCGAAAAGAACCCCGGCGAGGGGAGUGAAAAAGAACCUGAAACCGUGUACGUACAAGCAGUGGGAGCACGCUUAGGCGUGUGACUGCGUACCUUUUGUAUAAUGGGUCAGCGACUUAUAUUCUGUAGCAAGGUUAACCGAAUAGGGGAGCCGAAGGGAAACCGAGUCUUAACUGGGCGUUAAGUUGCAGGGUAUAGACCCGAAACCCGGUGAUCUAGCCAUGGGCAGGUUGAAGGUUGGGUAACACUAACUGGAGGACCGAACCGACUAAUGUUGAAAAAUUAGCGGAUGACUUGUGGCUGGGGGUGAAAGGCCAAUCAAACCGGGAGAUAGCUGGUUCUCCCCGAAAGCUAUUUAGGUAGCGCCUCGUGAAUUCAUCUCCGGGGGUAGAGCACUGUUUCGGCAAGGGGGUCAUCCCGACUUACCAACCCGAUGCAAACUGCGAAUACCGGAGAAUGUUAUCACGGGAGACACACGGCGGGUGCUAACGUCCGUCGUGAAGAGGGAAACAACCCAGACCGCCAGCUAAGGUCCCAAAGUCAUGGUUAAGUGGGAAACGAUGUGGGAAGGCCCAGACAGCCAGGAUGUUGGCUUAGAAGCAGCCAUCAUUUAAAGAAAGCGUAAUAGCUCACUGGUCGAGUCGGCCUGCGCGGAAGAUGUAACGGGGCUAAACCAUGCACCGAAGCUGCGGCAGCGACGCUUAUGCGUUGUUGGGUAGGGGAGCGUUCUGUAAGCCUGCGAAGGUGUGCUGUGAGGCAUGCUGGAGGUAUCAGAAGUGCGAAUGCUGACAUAAGUAACGAUAAAGCGGGUGAAAAGCCCGCUCGCCGGAAGACCAAGGGUUCCUGUCCAACGUUAAUCGGGGCAGGGUGAGUCGACCCCUAAGGCGAGGCCGAAAGGCGUAGUCGAUGGGAAACAGGUUAAUAUUCCUGUACUUGGUGUUACUGCGAAGGGGGGACGGAGAAGGCUAUGUUGGCCGGGCGACGGUUGUCCCGGUUUAAGCGUGUAGGCUGGUUUUCCAGGCAAAUCCGGAAAAUCAAGGCUGAGGCGUGAUGACGAGGCACUACGGUGCUGAAGCAACAAAUGCCCUGCUUCCAGGAAAAGCCUCUAAGCAUCAGGUAACAUCAAAUCGUACCCCAAACCGACACAGGUGGUCAGGUAGAGAAUACCAAGGCGCUUGAGAGAACUCGGGUGAAGGAACUAGGCAAAAUGGUGCCGUAACUUCGGGAGAAGGCACGCUGAUAUGUAGGUGAAGUCCCUCGCGGAUGGAGCUGAAAUCAGUCGAAGAUACCAGCUGGCUGCAACUGUUUAUUAAAAACACAGCACUGUGCAAACACGAAAGUGGACGUAUACGGUGUGACGCCUGCCCGGUGCCGGAAGGUUAAUUGAUGGGGUUAGCCGCAAGGCGAAGCUCUUGAUCGAAGCCCCGGUAAACGGCGGCCGUAACUAUAACGGUCCUAAGGUAGCGAAAUUCCUUGUCGGGUAAGUUCCGACCUGCACGAAUGGCGUAAUGAUGGCCAGGCUGUCUCCACCCGAGACUCAGUGAAAUUGAACUCGCUGUGAAGAUGCAGUGUACCCGCGGCAAGACGGAAAGACCCCGUGAACCUUUACUAUAGCUUGACACUGAACAUUGAGCCUUGAUGUGUAGGAUAGGUGGGAGGCUUGGAAGUGUGGACGCCAGUCUGCAUGGAGCCGACCUUGAAAUACCACCCUUUAAUGUUUGAUGUUCUAACGUUGACCCGUAAUCCGGGUUGCGGACAGUGUCUGGUGGGUAGUUUGACUGGGGCGGUCUCCUCCUAAAGAGUAACGGAGGAGCACGAAGGUUGGCUAAUCCUGGUCGGACAUCAGGAGGUUAGUGCAAUGGCAUAAGCCAGCUUGACUGCGAGCGUGACGGCGCGAGCAGGUGCGAAAGCAGGUCAUAGUGAUCCGGUGGUUCUGAAUGGAAGGGCCAUCGCUCAACGGAUAAAAGGUACUCCGGGGAUAACAGGCUGAUACCGCCCAAGAGUUCAUAUCGACGGCGGUGUUUGGCACCUCGAUGUCGGCUCAUCACAUCCUGGGGCUGAAGUAGGUCCCAAGGGUAUGGCUGUUCGCCAUUUAAAGUGGUACGCGAGCUGGGUUUAGAACGUCGUGAGACAGUUCGGUCCCUAUCUGCCGUGGGCGCUGGAGAACUGAGGGGGGCUGCUCCUAGUACGAGAGGACCGGAGUGGACGCAUCACUGGUGUUCGGGUUGUCAUGCCAAUGGCACUGCCCGGUAGCUAAAUGCGGAAGAGAUAAGUGCUGAAAGCAUCUAAGCACGAAACUUGCCCCGAGAUGAGUUCUCCCUGACCCUUUAAGGGUCCUGAAGGAACGUUGAAGACGACGACGUUGAUAGGCCGGGUGUGUAAGCGCAGCGAUGCGUUGAGCUAACCGGUACUAAUGAACCGUGAGGCUUAACC